rnacentral:piRNA from 1 species
UGGUACCUGGUUCUGCUCCAUAUCUAGC